rnacentral:lncRNA from 1 species
GAGAGAUUAAAGAAUGAGAGAACUGUGUUUGUUGGGAAUUUGCCUGUUACAUGUAAUAAGAAGAAGCUGAAGUCGUUUUUUAAAGAGUAUGGACAAAUAGAAUCUGUACGAUUUCGUUCUCUGAUUCCAGCAGAGGGAACGCUAUCCAAAAAGUUGGCAGCAAUAAAACGUAAAAUUCAUCCUGAUCAGAAAAAUAUUAAUGCCUAUGUUGUGUUUAAGGAGGAGAGUGCUGCCACGCAAGCAUUGAAAAGAAAUGGGGCCCAGAUUGCAGAUGGAUUUCGUAUUAGAGUUGAUCUCGCAUCUGAGACCUCAUCUACAAGAGAUCGGUUUUUGUGGGGAAUCUCCCUUAUAAAGUUGAAGAAUCUGCCAUUGAGAAGCACUUUCUGGACUGUGGAAGUAUCAUGGCCGUGAGGAUUGUGAGAGACAAAAUGACAGGCAUCGGCAAAGGGUUUGGCUAUGUGCUCUUUGAGAAUACAGAUUCUGUUCAUCUUGCUCUGAAAUUAAAUAAUUCUGAACUCAUGGGGAGAAAACUCAGAGUCAUGCGUUCUGUUAAUAAAGAAAAAUUUAAACAACAAAAUUCAAAUCCACGAUUGAAGAAUGUCAGUAAACCUAAGCAGGGACUUAAUUUUACUUCCAAAACUGCAGAAGGACAUCCUAAAAGCUUAUUUAUUGGAGAAAAAGCUGUUCUCCUUAAAACGAAGAAGAAAGGACAGAAGAAAAGUGGACGCCCUAAGAAACAGAGAAAACAGAAAUAACAACCAGGAACUGCUUUUUCUUUUCCUGCUGAGUACUGCUAAUAAAAGUGCUAUUAUCUGC